rnacentral:rRNA from 1 species
GACGAACGCUGGCGGCGUGCCUAAUACAUGCAAGUAGAACGCUGAAGACUUUAGCUUGCUAAAGUUGGAAGAGUUGCGAACGGGUGAGUAACGCGUAGGUAACCUGCCUACUAGCGGGGGAUAACUAUUGGAAACGAUAGCUAAUACCGCAUAACAGCAUUUAACCCAUGUUAGAUGCUUGAAAGGAGCAAUUGCUUCACUAGUAGAUGGACCUGCGUUGUAUUAGCUAGUUGGUGAGGUAACGGCUCACCAAGGCGACGAUACAUAGCCGACCUGAGAGGGUGAUCGGCCACACUGGGACUGAGACACGGCCCAGACUCCUACGGGAGGCAGCAGUAGGGAAUCUUCGGCAAUGGGGGCAACCCCGACCGAGCAACGCCGCGUGAGUGAAGAAGGUUUUCGGAUCGUAAAGCUCUGUUGUAAGAGAAGAACGUGUGUGAGAGUGGAAAGUUCACACAGUGACGGUAACUAC